rnacentral:rRNA from 1 species
UGACUUGUGGCUGGGGGUGAAAGGCCAAUCAAACCGGGAGAUAGCUGGUUCUCCCCGAAAGCUAUUUAGGUAGCGCCUCGUGAAUUCAUCUCCGGGGGUAGAGCACUGUUUCGGCAAGGGGGUCAUCCCGACUUACCAACCCGAUGCAAACUGCGAAUACCGGAGAAUGUUAUCACGGGAGACACACGGCGGGUGCUAACGUCCGUCGUGAAGAGGGAAACAACCCAGACCGCCAGCUAAGGUCCCAAAGUCAUGGUUAAGUGGGAAACGAUGUGGGAAGGCCCAGACAGCCAGGAUGUUGGCUUAGAAGCAGCCAUCAUUUAAAGAAAGCGUAAUAGCUCACUGGUCGAGUCGGCCUGCGCGGAAGAUGUAACGGGGCUAAACCAUGCACCGAAGCUGCGGCAGCGACACUGUGUGUUGUUGGGUAGGGGAGCGUUCUGUAAGCCUGUGAAGGUGUGCUGUGAGGCAUGCUGGAGGUAUCAGAAGUGCGAAUGCUGACAUAAGUAACGAUAAAGCGGGUGAAAAGCCCGCUCGCCGGAAGACCAAGGGUUCCUGUCCAACGUUAAUCGGGGCAGGGUGAGUCGACCCCUAAGGCGAGGCCGAAAGGCGUAGUCGAUGGGAAACAGGUUAAUAUUCCUGUACUUGGUGUUACUGCGAAGGGGGGACGGAGAAGGCUAUGUUGGCCGGGCGACGGUUGUCCCGGUUUAAGCGUGUAGGCUGGUUUUCCAGGCAAAUCCGGAAAAUCAAGGCUGAGGCGUGAUGACGAGGCACUACGGUGCUGAAGCAACAAAUGCCCUGCUUCCAGGAAAAGCCUCUAAGCAUCAGGUAACAUCAAAUCGUACCCCAAACCGACACAGGUGGUCAGGUAGAGAAUACCAAGGCGCUUGAGAGAACUCGGGUGAAGGAACUAGGCAAAAUGGUGCCGUAACUUCGGGAGAAGGCACGCUGAUAUGUAGGUGAAGUCCCUCGCGGAUGGAGCUGAAAUCAGUCGAAGAUACCAGCUGGCUGCAACUGUUUAUUAAAAACACAGCACUGUGCAAACACGAAAGUGGACGUAUACGGUGUGACGCCUGCCCGGUGCCGGAAGGUUAAUUGAUGGGGUCAGCGCAAGCGAAGCUCUUGAUCGAAGCCCCGGUAAACGGCGGCCGUAACUAUAACGGUCCUAAGGUAGCGAAAUUCCUUGUCGGGUAAGUUCCGACCUGCACGAAUGGCGUAAUGAUGGCCAGGCUGUCUCCACCCGAGACUCAGUGAAAUUGAACUCGCUGUGAAGAUGCAGUGUACCCGCGGCAAGACGGAAAGACCCCGUGAACCUUUACUAUAGCUUGACACUGAACAUUGAGCCUUGAUGUGUAGGAUAGGUGGGAGGCUUUGAAGUGUGGACGCCAGUCUGCAUGGAGCCGACCUUGAAAUACCACCCUUUAAUGUUUGAUGUUCUAACGUGGACCCGUGAUCCGGGUUGCGGACAGUGUCUGGUGGGUAGUUUGACUGGGGCGGUCUCCUCCUAAAGAGUAACGGAGGAGCACGAAGGUUGGCUAAUCCUGGUCGGACAUCAGGAGGUUAGUGCAAUGGCAUAAGCCAGCUUGACUGCGAGCGUGACGGCGCGAGCAGGUGCGAAAGCAGGUCAUAGUGAUCCGGUGGUUCUGAAUGGAAGGGCCAUCGCUCAACGGAUAAAAGGUACUCCGGGGAUAACAGGCUGAUACCGCCCAAGAGUUCAUAUCGACGGCGGUGUUUGGCACCUCGAUGUCGGCUCAUCACAUCCUGGGGCUGAAGUAGGUCCCAAGGGUAUGGCUGUUCGCCAUUUAAAGUGGUACGCGAGCUGGGUUUAGAACGUCGUGAGACAGUUCGGUCCCUAUCUGCCGUGGGCGCUGGAGAACUGAGGGGGGCUGCUCCUAGUACGAGAGGACCGGAGUGGACGCAUCACUGGUGUUCGGGUUGUCAUGCCAAUGGCACUGCCCGGUAGCUAAAUGCGGAAGAGAUAAGUGCUGAAAGCAUCUAAGCACGAAACUUGCCCCGAGAUGAGUUCUCCCUGACCCUUUAAGGGUCCUGAAGGAACGUUGAAGACGACGACGUUGAUAGGCCGGGUGUGUAAGCGCAGCGAUGCGUUGAGCUAACCGGUACUAAUGAACCGUGAGGCUUAACCUUACAACGCCGAAGGUGUUU